rnacentral:rRNA from 1 species
GACGAACGCUGGCGGCGUGCUUAACACAUGCAAGUCGAACGGAAAGGCCCUGCUUUUGUGGGGUGCUCGAGUGGCGAACGGGUGAGUAACACGUGAGUAACCUGCCCUUGACUUUGGGAUAACUUCAGGAAACUGGGGCUAAUACCGGAUAGGAGCUCCUGCUGCAUGGUGGGGGUUGGAAAGUUUCGGCGGUUGGGGAUGGACUCGCGGCUUAUCAGCUUGUUGGUGGGGUAGUGGCUUACCAAGGCUGUGACGGGUAGCCGGCCUGAGAGGGUGACCGGCCACAUUGGGACGGAGAUACGGCUCAGACUCCUACGGGAGGGAGCAGUGGGGAAUAUGGCAAAAGGGGCGGGAGCGUGAUGCAGCAACGGAGCGUGAGGGAUGACGGCUUUCGGGGUGUAAAUCGCUUUCGACUGUGACGAAGCGUGAGGGAAGGUAAUGGGUAAAGAAGCACCGGCUAACUA